rnacentral:tRNA from 1 species
AGUGCUGUGGUUUAGUUGGUUAAAAUGCAUGUUUAGUACACAGAAGAUCCUGGGUUCAAAUCCCAGCAGCACCU